AACGAACGCUGGCGGCAUGCCUAAUACAUGCAAGUCGAACGAGAUCUUCGGAUCUAGUGGCGCACGGGUGCGUAACGCGUAGGAAUCUGCCCUUGGGUUCGGAAUAACUUCUGGAAACGGAAGCUAAUACCGGAUGAUGACGUAAGUCCAAAGAUUUAUCGCCCAAGGAUGAGCCCGCGUAGGAUUAGGUAGUUGGUGAGGUAAAGGCUCACCAAGCCGACGAUCCUUAGCUGGUCUGAGAGGAUGAUCAGCCACACUGGGACUGAGACACGGCCCAGACUCCUACGGGAGGCAGCAGUAGGGAAUAUUGGACAAUGGGCGAAAGCCUGAUCCAGCAAUGCCGCGUGAGUGAUGAAGGCCUUAGGGUUGUAAAGCUCUUUUACCCGGGAUGAUAAUGACAGUACCGGGAGAAUAAGCUCCGGCUAACUCCGUG
rnacentral:rRNA from 1 species